UUCAAAGUGUACCAAGGCAAAUUGCGCUCAACUGCAGAAAUUUAGGUUCAGGCACACACACACGAAUCAAGUGGUUCUAAUAAUGGAACUCCAAUAACCGAGCUAAUCUCAACCCAUGAUGUGCUUUUGAAAGCGAUGCCAGGAUUGCGAUGCGAAUAACGUUCAGGCAAAUGAACUGCUGAAAGUUCCUGAACAAACAAACGACUUUUGAAAGUUUACUUACGGAAUAAUUUACAACACCAUAUAUUUUAUACCGUCAUGCAAUAAGCGGCCACAGUUUUAUCGUUGAGCGUUACAUUCAACCCACAGAUUAACCAGAAUGAGGGUGCGAAAUAAAUUUGCUUCUUGGAAGGAGA